CCUGAGAGAGAGAGAGAGAGACAUGGAGAGAGACAUUGAGAGAGAGUGAGAGAGACAUGGAGAGAGAGUGAGAGAGACAUUGAGAGAGACAUGGAGAGAGAAGAAUAAUUACAUGGAGAAACAUAGAAAUACACAUGGUUAUUGUUUGAUUUCAUUCGUUUGUGUCACCAUACACAAGUAUCAAAAAUGUGCUUCAAUAAUAAAUAAUACAGUAAUCAACUAAUUUGGCUCAUAGGAGUACAAAGAAAGAGGCAUACAGUACAUCUCACUCUUAUCAGAGACAGGACAGAAAUCCCUUCCUCAACACAACACAGGAUCUGUACAAUUAUAUCAUGUGAACAGAGUAAAGGACCCACAUC